rnacentral:rRNA from 1 species
GCUCAGGAUGAACGCUAGCUACAGGCUUAACACAUGCAAGUCGAGGGGCAGCAUGGUCUUAGCUUGCUAAGGCCGAUGGCGACCGGCGCACGGGUGAGUAACGCGUAUCCAACCUGCCUUACACUCUUGGACAGCCUUCUGAAAGGGAGAUUAAUACAAGAUGUUAUCAUGAGUAAGCAUUUUCGCAUGAUUAAAGGUUUACCGGUGUAAGAUGGGGAUGCGUUCCAUUAGAUAGUAGGCGGGGUAACGGCCCACCUAGUCUUCGAUGGAUAGGGGUUCUGAGAGGAAGGUCCCCCACAUUGGAACUGAGACACGGUCCAAACUCCUACGGGAGGCAGCAGUGAGGAAUAUUGGUCAAUGGACGAGAGUCUGAACCAGCCAAGUAGCGUGAAGGAUGAAGGUUCUAUGGAUUGUAAACUUCUUUUAUACGGGAAUAAACGGAUCCACGUGUGGAUUUUUGCAUGUACCGUAUGAAUAAGGAUCGGCUAACUCCGUGCCAGCAGCCGCGGUAAUACGGAGGAUCCGAGCGUUAUCCGGAUUUAUUGGGUUUAAAGGGAGCGUAGAUGAGUUGUUAAGUCAGUUGUGAAAGUUUGCGGCUCAACCGUAAAAUUGCAAUUGAUACUGGCAGUCUUGAGUACAGUUGAGGUAGGCGGAAUUCGUGGUGUAGCGGUGAAAUGCUUAGAUAUCACGAAGAACUCCGAUUGCGAAGGCGGCUUACUAACCUGUAACUGACAUUGAUGCUCGAAAGUGUGGGUAUCAAACAGGAUUAGAUACCCUGGUAGUCCACACGGUAAACGAUGAAUACUCGCUGUAGGCGAUAUACAGUCUGCGGCCAAGCGAAAGCAUUAAGUAUUCCACCUGGGGAGUACGCCGGCAACGGUGAAACUCAAAGGAAUUGACGGGGGCCCGCACAAGCGGAGGAACAUGUGGUUUAAUUCGAUGAUACGCGAGGAACCUUACCCGGGCUUAAAUUGCAACCGAAUAUGGCGGAAACGCUAUAGCUAGCAAUAGCGGUUGUGAAGGUGCUGCAUGGUUGUCGUCAGCUCGUGCCGUGAGGUGUCGGCUUAAGUGCCAUAACGAGCGCAACCCUUGCCGAUAGUUACUAACAGGUUAUGCUGAGGACUCUGUCGGGACUGCCAUCGUAAGAUGUGAGGAAGGUGGGGAUGACGUCAAAUCAGCACGGCCCUUACGUCCGGGGCUACACACGUGUUACAAUGGGGGGUACAGAGGGCUGCUACCACGCAAGUGGAUGCCAAUCCCAAAAACCUCUCUCAGUUCGGAUUGAAGUCUGCAACCCGACUUCAUGAAGCUGGAUUCGCUAGUAAUCGCGCAUCAGCCACGGCGCGGUGAAUACGUUCCCGGGCCUUGUACACACCGCCCGUCAAGCCAUGGGAGCCGGGGGUACCUGAAGUGCGUAACCGCAAGGAGCGCCCUAGGGUAAAACUGGU